AAGAAAGUAAGAAAGGGCGCAUGGAGGAUGCCUAGGCUCUCAGAGGCGAGGAAGGACGCGAUAAGCUGCGAUAAGCCCCGGGGAUCGGCACAUACGAAUCGAUCCGGGGAUCUCCGAAUGGGGCAACCCGGCUGGUUGAAGACCAGUCACACCUUCGGGUGAGCGAACGCGGGGAACUGAAACAUCUAAGUACCCGCAGGAAGAGAAAAUAAGAAUGAUUCCCCAAGUAGUGGCGAGCGAACGGGGAAGAGCCCAAACCGGUUCUGUCAAGGCAGAUCCGGGGUUGUAGGACCACGACGUUGCAUCUGAAACUGAAGCUUAACUACCUGGGAAGGUAGGCCGGAGAGGGUGAUAGCCCCGUCAGCGAAAG
rnacentral:rRNA from 1 species